rnacentral:rRNA from 1 species
AGAUGGCGACCGGCGCACGGGUGAGUAACACGUAUCCAACCUGCCGAUAACUCGGGGAUAGCCUUUCGAAAGAAAGAUUAAUACCCGAUGGUAUAAUCAGACCGCAUGGUUUAAUUAUUAAAGAAUUUCGGUUAUCGAUGGGGAUGCGUUCCAUUAGGCAGUUGGUGAGGUAACGGCUCACCAAACCUUCGAUGGAUAGGGGUUCUGAGAGGAAGGUCCCCCACAUUGGAACUGAGACACGGUCCAA